rnacentral:rRNA from 1 species
GCCUACCCUCCGCCGCCACUACACGACUACCUACGGUACGGGCAGCAGUCGGGGAAGUAGUUGCGCAAUCGGGGGAAACCCUGACGCAGCGACGCCGCGUGCGGGAUGAAGGCCUUCGGGUGUAAACCGCUUUCACCAGGGACGAAGCGAGAGUGGCCGGGUAACCUGGGGAAGAAGCGCCGGCUAACUACGUGCCAGCAGCCGCGGUAAUUC